UACGGAAGGCAGCAGUAAGGAAUAUUGGUCAAUGGGCGCAAGCCUGAACCAGCCAUGCCGCGUGCAGGAAGACGGCCUUCGGGUUGUAAAGUACUUUCAGUCGUGAGGAAGGUGUUAAGGUUAAUAACCUUAGCAAUUGACGUUAGCGACAGAAGAAGCACCGGCUAACUCCGUGCCAGCAGCCGCGGUAAUACGGAGGGUGCGAGCGUUAAUCGGAAUUACUGGGCGUAAAGGGCACGCAGGCGGUUAAUUAAGUUGGAUGUGAAAUCCCCGGGCUUAACCUGGGAAUGGCAUUCAAGACUGGUUAGCUAGAGUCUUGUAGAGGGGGUAGAAUUCCAUGUGUAGCGGUGAAAUGCGUAGAGAUGUGGAGGAAUACCGGUGGCGAAGGCGGCCCCUGGACAAAGACUGACGCUCAUGUGCGAAAGCGUGGGGAGCAAACAGGGAUUAGAUACC
rnacentral:rRNA from 1 species